AAGCGCGCCUANCAUGCAAGUCGAACGGUAGCACAGAGAGCUUGCUCUUGGGUGACGAGUGCCCUUNANGGGGAGUAAAGUCUGGGAAACUGCCUGAUGGANNCUNAUAAGCACUGGAAACGGUGGCUAAUACCGCAUAAUCUCGCGAGAGCAAAGUGGGGGACCUUAAUGGNNNNCCNAAAAAGGAUGUGCCCAUUUNGGAUUAGCUUGUUGGGGGGGNAAAGGCUCACCAAGGCGACGAUCCCUAGCUGGUCUGAGAGGAUGACCAGCCACACUGGAACUGAGACACGGUCCAGACUCCUACGGGAGGCAGCAGUGGGGAAUAUUGCACAAUGGGCGCAAGCCUGAUGCAGCCAUGCCGCGUGUGUGAAGAAGGCCUUCGGGUUGNAAAGCAUUUUCAGCGGGGAGGAAGGUGGUGUGGUUANUUUUUUUNNNAAUUGACGUUACCCGCAGAAGAAGCACCGGCUAACUCCGUGCCAGCAGCCGCGGUAAUACGGAGGGUGCAAGCGUUAAUCGGAAUUACUGGGCGUAAAGCGCACGCAGGCGGUCUGACAAGUCAGAUGUGAAAUCCCCGGGCUUAACCUGGGAACUGCAUUUGAAACUGUCAGGCUGGAGUCUUGUAGAGGGGGGUAGAAUUCCAGGUGUAGCGGNGAAAUGCGUAGAGAUCUGGAGGAAUACCGGNGGCGAAGGCGGCCCCCUGGACAAAGACUGACGCUCAGGUGCGAAAGCAUGGGGAGCAAACAGGANUAGAUACCC
rnacentral:rRNA from 1 species